UGGGGAAUAUUGCACAAUGGGCGCAAGCCUGAUGCAGCCAUGCCGCGUGUGUGAAGAAGGCCUUCGGGUUGUAAAGCACUUUCAGCGGGGAGGAAGGCGUCAAGGUUAAUAACCUUGGCGAUUGACGUUACCCGCAGAAGAAGCACCGGCUAACUCCGUGCCAGCAGCCGCGGUAAUACGGAGGGUGCAAGCGUUAAUCGGAAUUACUGGGCGUAAAGCGCACGCAGGCGGUCUGUCAAGUCGGAUGUGAAAUCCCCGGGCUCAACCUGGGAACUGCAUCUGAUACUGGCAAGCUUGAGUCUCGUAGAGGGGGGUAGAAUUCCAGGUGUAGCGGUGAAAUGCGUAGAGAUCUGGAGGAAUACCGGUGGCGAAGGCGGCCCCCUGGACGAAGACUGACGCUCAGGUGCGAAAGCGUGGGGAGCAAACAGG
rnacentral:rRNA from 1 species